rnacentral:lncRNA from 1 species
AUGGAAGAAAUUAUUCAGAGAAUUGAAAAUGUCCUAGAUGCAAACUGCAGCAGAGACGUAAAACAGAUGCUCUUGAAGCUUGUUGAACUCUGGUCGACUAACUGGGUUAGAGUCCAUGCAACCUCAACAUACAGAGAAGCAACACCUGAAAAUGAUCCUAACUACUUUAUGAAUGAACCAACAUUUUAUACAUCUGAUGGUGUUCCUUUCACUGCAGCUGAUCCAGAUACUUGGAUGAUAUUGAUGAUGAGAUGGACCCAGAGAUUGAAGAAGCUUAUGAAAAGUUUUGUUUUGGUUUGGUUUUUUUUUUUUUUUUGGUAUCGGGAAUUGAACUCGGGUCCUUGCACUUGCACAGCAGGCAGCGAAACCACUGAGCUAAAUCCCCAGCCCAUGAAAAGUUUUAUUUGGAAUGAGAACAUAAACGAAAACAGUAAAGUUAAAUUUCAGCACAUCAGUUUUAUAAAACAAUUUACGUAUGAUGAUUUAGCAGAACACAGGAAAGCAAGAACACAUGUCAUACGUAUACCAAAUUAAGGAUGCUGAGUUAUGUUACUAAUGUAUGCAACUUUAAUUUUAACACUAUCUGCCAAAAUAAACUUUAUUCCCUGUAACUUAAAAAAAAAGAGAGAGCAGCUGUCCUUUGUUCAGACCAUUUCACCUUCCCUUUAUGCACCCAAAGUUUGCUGUUUAUUUUGUAGGUUUGAGAAAAGUGAUUGUAGCACAGGGCUUGUUUUGAUCUUUGUUCCUAUUCCCUCAGUGUAGGGUGAUUGGUAAACAUUUCAGAAGCCAGUGGCUGCUGGGCUCUAUUUUAGCUGUCUGAGAACCAUAGAAUUAUAGAGUUUUUUUGUUUUUUUGUUUGAUUGAUUGGUACAGGAUUGUAGUGCAUGAUUACAUUCAUCAUGGAGAGGUGGCACAUAUACAUACAUAGUUUUUCAACUUUUUUUGCAAACUUAUUAGUGUAGGGCCAGGACGCCCUGUAGGUAGGGAAAAGACAGGAUGAAGGCCUCAUUGAGCUUUAUUAAAAAUUAGUAAGUGGACCGGGAUUUAGCUCAGUGGUUCUGUUGCCUGCCUUGCAAGCACAAGGACCCGAGUUUGAUCCCUGGUACAAAAAAUAAAAAAAUAAAUUAAUAGGCAGUUUAGGCCUAGGUAGCCAGACUGGAGCAAUUAGAAAGACAAAAGCUCUGGGAAUGUCCCAGGUAGCGAUUAACAUAAGAAUUGCACACUUCCCCUUUACUUAAUCCUUAACAGUAAACUACCUGUCCAACACACACACACACACACACACACACGCGCGCGUGCGCGCUCAAGGACCGAGAAUAGCCUGGCCUGCAGAAUCCAAGGUCAAGGUGAAGGACAGGCCGGGGAGCGGGUCGGACUCCAGGAGCCCAGCCGGGAAGGAGCCCCGGAAAAGGAGCUGGAGACCGCUUCCCAAGCACCCCC